AAACUAGGAAUGUACGUGGUUUUAUUUCUGCAGAAAUUUAGAAAAAGCUCUCAUAGUAACACCGUGGUAGGAGUCAGAAAGACACUGGAGUCAUUAAGGCCCCUUAAAUGACUAAUUAG
rnacentral:snoRNA from 1 species